rnacentral:rRNA from 1 species
AAACUUCGCAAUGCGCGAAAGCGUGACGAGGUUAGCCCGAGUGCCGUCCGCUGAGGAUGGCUUUUCUUUGGUGUAAGGAGCCAGGGGAAUAAGAGGAGGGUAAGUCUGGUGUCAGCCGCCGCGGUAAUACCAGCUUCUCGAGUGGUGGGGGCGAUUAUUGGGCCUAAAGCGUCCGUAGCCAGCUUGUUAAGUCCUUCGUAAAAUCCGGCGAUUUAAUCGUUGGUUCGCGGAGGAUACUGUCAAGCUAGGGGGCGGAAGAGGCUGGCGGUAUUCUUAGGGUAGGGGUGAAAUCCUAUAAUCCUAGGAGGACCACCAGUGGCGAAGGCGGCCAGCUAGAACGCGCCCGACGGUGAGGGACGAAAGCUGGGGGAGCAAACCGG